UACGUAGUGACCAAGCGUUGUCCGGAAUCAUUGGGCGUAAAGAGCGUGUAGGCGGCUUGUUAAGUCUUGCGUGAAAUCUCGGGGCUCAACCCCGAGCGGUCGUGAGAAACUGGCAGGCUAGAGUGCGGGAGAGGAGAGUGGAAUUCCUGGUGUAGCGGUGAAAUGCGCAGAUAUCAGGAAGAACACCCGUGGCGAAGGCGGCUCUCUGGAACGCAACUGACGCUGAGACGCGAAAGCGUGGGGAGCAAACAGG
rnacentral:rRNA from 1 species